CCUACGGGAGGCAGCAGUGAGGAAUAUUGGUCAAUGGUCGGGAUACUGAACCAGCCAAGCCGCGUGAGGGAUGAAGGUACAGAGUAUCGUAAACCUCUUUUGUCAGGGAACAAAGGCGGGGACGUGUCCCCGGAUGAGUGUACCUGAAGAAAAAGCAUCGGCUAACUCCGUGCCAGCACCCGCGGUAAUACGGAGGAUGCGAGCGUUAUCCGGUUUUAUUGGGUUUAAAGGGUUCGCAGGGGGUCUGUUAAGUCAGCGUUCAAAGCCCGGGGCUCAACCCCGGCACGCCGUUGAAACUGGCAGUCUCGAGUUGGAGAGAAGUAUGCGGAAUGCGCGGUGUAGCGGUGAAAUGCAUAGAUAGCGCGCAGAACUCCGAUUGAGAAGGCAGCAUGCCGGCUCCACACUGACGCUGAGGCACGAAAGCGUGGGUAUCGAACAGGAUUAGAUACCCCUGUAGUC
rnacentral:rRNA from 1 species